rnacentral:rRNA from 1 species
AGCGUAGGCGGACUUUUAAGUGAGAUGUGAAAUACCCGGGCUCAACUUGGGUGCUGCAUUUCAAACUGGAAGUCUAGAGUUCAGGAGAGGAGAAUGGAAUUCCUAGUGUAGCGGUGAAAUGCGUAGAGAUUAGGAAGAACACCAGUGGCGAAGGCGGCUUACUGGACGGUAACUGACGUUGAGGCUCGAAAGCGUGGGGAGCAAACA